rnacentral:rRNA from 1 species
UACGUAGGGUGCGAGCGUUGUCCGGAAUUAUUGGGCGUAAAGAGCUUGUAGGCGGUCUGUCGCGUCUGCUGUGAAAAUCCGGGGCUCAACCCCGGACUUGCAGUGGGUACGGGCAGACUAGAGUGUGGUAGGGGAGACUGGAAUUCCUGGUGUAGCGGUGAAAUGCGCAGAUAUCAGGAGGAACACCGAUGGCGAAAGCGGCUCUCUGGAACGGUACUGACGCUGAGACGCGAAAGCGUGGGGAGCGAACAGG